rnacentral:rRNA from 1 species
UACGUAGGUGGCAAGCGUUGUCCGGAGUUAUUGGGCGUAAAGCGCGCGCAGGCGGUUGGAUAAGUCCAUGGUGAAAGCGCCUGGCUCAACUAGGCGAGUGCCGUGGGGACUGUUCAGCUGGAGUGGAGCAGAGGCGAGUGGAAUUCCGGGUGUAGUGGUGAAAUGCGUAGAGAUCCGGAGGAACACCAGAGGCGAAGGCGGCUCGCUGGGCUUUGACUGACGCUGAGGCGCGAAAGCGUGGGGAGCGAACCGG